AAUACAUUUCUCUACCAGUCCUGAGACCAGUGCUCUGCACGUCAGUACUCGUACUGUCAGGAGCAGUGACAGUAGCCAAGCAGAAGGAGGAUUCCAAGCGAGAGGGCACCAGAUGUUUCUGAAAGGUCAUCU
rnacentral:lncRNA from 1 species